GAUGAACGCUAGCGGCAGGCUUAAUACAUGCAAGUCGAGGGACAGCACAGGUAGCAAUACUGGGUGGUAACCGGCAAACGGGUGCGGAACACGUACACAACCUUCCUUUAAGUGGGGGAUAGCCCAGAGAAAUUUGGAUUAAUACACCGUAAUAUAGUUGAAUGGCAUCAUUUGAUUAUUAUAGCUACGGCGCUUAAUGAUGGGUGUGCGGCUGAUUAGAUAGUUGGCGGGGUAACGGCCCACCAAGUCUACGAUCAGUAGCUGAUGUGAGAGCAUGAUCAGCCACACGGGCACUGAGACACGGGCCCGACUCCUACGGGAGGCAGCAGUAAGGAAUAUUGGUCAAUGGACGCAAGUCUGAACCAGCCAUGCCGCGUUAAGGAUUAAGGUCCUCCGGAUUGUAAACUUCUUUUAUUUGGGACGAAAAAGGGCCUUUCUAGGUCAACUGACGGUACCAGAUGAAUAAGCACCGGCUAACUCCGUGCCAGCAGCCGCCGUAACAC
rnacentral:rRNA from 1 species